rnacentral:tRNA from 1 species
CAGUAAGUAUUUUAAUUUAAAAUUUUAGUUUUGGAGACUAAAGAUGAUUUUUUCUUUACUGA